GGAGGCGGAUCGUCCCCCGGUGGGGCGUCCGGUCUGCAAAACCGGGUGGGGCCGCUCAGCGGUCCCAGGUGGGUUCGACUCCCACCCACCUCCGCCA
rnacentral:tRNA from 1 species